CGGGAGAGGAAGUCAGCGCGGCUUCAGGAGCUGUGUCUUGCCCAGUGUGGUCUUGCGUUGACCUAGUGUCGGCAGUGUUGUUUCGUAUAAAAAAAGUGAUCAAUUAGAGUGUGAAAAAAAAACUCAUAUGAAAUCUUGUGUUGAUAGUGAUUGAUAGAAGACUGUAAGUGAAGUGUCAACAUUGGCCAUCAGCAAAAACUGAUAAGUGGCCAAAGUGACUGGAAAGUGUCACAAGUGGAAAACAAAAACGAAAUAGUAAAAAUCGAGUGCCAAGUUUCACCUAUUUUCAGAAGGCUGGAAAUUAAGAUUCAAGAGGAAACUUCCUGAGAGUCCCAGUAUAUGCACCCCGAACACCUGAAGUUCCACAAACUCAGCAAUUCCUUCUACAUCCGGGACCUGUCCUUAGUCUCUUGUUUUAAGUACAGAUAUAAGAGUUCUACUGAGGACAUGGAGCCGUGAUUGGUUAGCUAGAGAUUUCGGGCUUUUUAAGAUUUUCUUUCAUUAAGGUUAAGAAAGCUUUGGAUUCGUCCUUUUCUGAGGCUGACCUUGGAAAUCUUUUGGCAGAUCCCUCUCUCUAGAUCAAGUCUCGAGAAGCAGAGGCAGAUACUAGAGGUAGGAAGCAAGAAAAUUACGCCUCACUGUGACUCAAGGCGAUCUGAAGAAAAAGUUUGAUUUCAAGAAGCCCUUUUAUCUAGUUUCCAAAAGUCGAAUGGCCAAAGGACAGAAGGAGGCCAGCGUGAUCACCCGGAGCAUGGCCCAAGUGUGCAUUUCACCCAAGCCCGAUCUUUGUGAGCAAGAGGCCAUGGACGUCUCAAGGCCCACCGAAGGAGAGAAUCCCGUGGGUGUUAAGGUGGAAGAGGCUGUUGAACAGAAGCAAGAGGAAAAGGAGGCGGUAGAAGAACAUGGGCCUUCUCCUUCCCUUUCGUCUCCUCCUCGAGGUAAGAGGAAGAGCUGCAGGUCCCCCGCUGGAAGUCCCU